CCCUUAGAUGUCCUGGGCUGCACGCGCGCUACACUGACACGUUCAACGAGUUUUGCCUGCUCCGAUGGGACUGGGUAAUCUUAUGAAAGCGUGUCGUGAUGGGGAUAGAUUAUUGCAAUUAUUAAUCUUCAACGAGGAAUUCCUAGUAAGCACAAGUCAUCAGCUUGUGUUGAUUACGUCCCUGCCCUUUGUACACACCGCCCGUCGCUCCUACCGAUUGAAUGUUCCGGUGAGCUCUUCGGACUGCGCGGUCUGCAGUUUCUGCGUUCCGUGCGGAAAGUUGCGCAAACCUUAACAUUUAGAGGAAGGAGAAGUCGUAACA
rnacentral:rRNA from 1 species